UACGUAGGGUGCGAGCGUGUCCGGAAUUAUUGGGCGUAAAGAGCUUGUAGGCGGUUUGUCGCGUCUGCUGUGAAAAUCCGGGGCUCAACCCCGGACUUGCAGUGGGUACGGGCAGACUAGAGUGUGGUAGGGGGAGACUGGAGUUCCUGGUGUAGCGGUGGAAUGCGCAGAUAUCAGGAGGAACACCGAUGGCGAAGGCAGGUCUCUGGGCCAUUACUGACGUGAGAAGCGAAAGCAUGGGGAGC
rnacentral:rRNA from 1 species